CAUGUAGGCGGCAUGACAAGUCUGGUGUGAAAUAUCUCGGCUCAACCGAGAAAACGCACUGGAAACUGUCAAGCUUGAGUAUCGGAGGGGAAGCUAGAAUUCCAGGUGUAAGGGUGAAAUCUGUAGAUAUCAGGAAGAAUACCGGUGGCGAAGGCGAGCUUCUGGCCAGAUACUGACGCUGAGAUGCGAAAGCGUGGGGAGCGAACAGGAUUAGAUACCCUGGUAGUCC
rnacentral:rRNA from 1 species